CUACAAUGUAAGUAAUUCUGGUCCAGGUAUCCCAAUCAUGUAGAUGGGCCAGAGGCACUGGAUCACGGAAAUAUGUGCCCACAUGUUUAGAGCAAAUUGCUUUGUUACUUGGCAGGAAUCAAUAAGGAAAGCUGGAAUAUUCUUUUUUUCUCACAGCUAUGUCAUUUCUAUAUUGCCUGACCUAAAGGAAAAGAAAAAAAGGGCCAAUGUCUUCAUUGCAAGAUAGACUCCUGAGAAUGCUUAUUCCAGCAAAGAAGAUCUUCCGAAAAAACAAGGAUUACUCAAAGUUAUUGAGAAGAAAUACAGGUUCUGGCGGACAAUUUCCAGUCUGGUGUCUGCAUUUGGAGAGAUUCUACAGCACAUGCAUGAAUGGUAAUAAUCUUUUUUUACAAAGUGGUUUCCAAAAUGAUCAGAGAAAGCAAUAAAAUUCUAAUUUCAU
rnacentral:lncRNA from 1 species